GACGAACGCUGGCGGCGUGCCUAAUACAUGCAAGUCGAGCGGACUGACUGGGAGCUUGCUCUUGUUCGGUCAGCGGCGGACGGGUGAGUAACACGUGGGCAACCUGCCCGCAAGACCGGGAUAACUCCGGGAAACCGGGGCUAAUACCGGAUAACACCGAAGACCGCAUGGUCUUUGGUUGAAAGGCGGCGCAAGCUGCCACUUGCGGAUGGGCCCGCGGCGCAUUAGCUAGUUGGUGAGGUAACGGCUCACCAAGGCGACGAUGCGUAGCCGGCCUGAGAGGGUGACCGGCCACACUGGGACUGAGACACGGCCCAGACUCCUACGGGAGGCAGCAGUAGGGAAUCUUCCGCAAUGGGCGAAAGCCUGACGGAGCGACGCCGCGUGAGCGAAGAAGGCCUUCGGGUCGUAAAGCUCUGUUGUGAGGGACGAAGGAGCGCCGUUUGAAGAAGGCGGCGCGGUGACGGUACCUCACGAGGAAGCCCCGGCUAACUACGUG
rnacentral:rRNA from 1 species